rnacentral:rRNA from 1 species
UUUUUUAAUUGAAAACUUGUAUGAAUGGUUUAACGAGAUAUUUUCUGUUUCAUUAAAAAUAUAGUAGAAAUUAAUUUUUUAGUUAAAAAGCUAAAAUUAAAUUUAAAGACGAGAAGACCCUAUAGAGUUUUAUAUAAUAUUUAAACAAUUUUUAUAAAUAAUAAUUUAAAUUUUAUUAAAUUUUAUAUUUUAUUGGGGUGAUAAUAAAAAUUAAUUAUCUUUUAUUAUUUAUUAACAAAGAUUUUUGAUUUGUUGAUCCAUUAUUAAUGAUUAAAAGAUUAAAUUACCUUAGGGAUAACAGCGUAAUUUUUUUGUAGAGUUCUUAUCGAUAAAAAAUUUUGC